AACGAACGCUGGCGGCAUGCCUAACACAUGCAAGUCGAACGAGAUCUUCGGGUCUAGUGGCGCACGGGUGCGUAACGCGUGGGAAUCUGCCCUUUGGUUCGGAACAACAGUUGGAAACGACUGCUAAUACCGGAUGAUGACGAAAGUCCAAAGAUUUAUCGCCAGAGGAUGAGCCCGCGUAGGAUUAGCUAGUUGGUGUGGUAAAGGCGCACCAAGGCGACGAUCCUUAGCUGGUCUGAGAGGAUGAUCAGCCACACUGGGACUGAGACACGGCCCAGACUCCUACGGGAGGCAGCAGUGGGGAAUAUUGGACAAUGGGCGAAAGCCUGAUCCAGCAAUGCCGCGUGAGUGAUGAAGGCCUUAGGGUUGUAAAGCUCUUUUACCCGGGAUGAUAAUGACAGUACCGGGAGAAUAAGCUCCGGCUAACUCCGUGCCAGCAGCCGCCGUAAGAC
rnacentral:rRNA from 1 species